rnacentral:lncRNA from 1 species
AUUGUCAGUGUGUUAAUACCUGAAUUUGCAUGAUGAAAAUCUCCUAGACUUGCACAUAAAAGAAUAAUUGCAGUGUGAUUGCUCAUGAAGUGCAACGGUUCAAGAGACAAAGAGACGAAUUGGAAAGAUGACGUUUUGCACGGUGUACUAGUUCAAUCUUCAGAUACCUCAGCUGGUGAGCAUAUUGAGCCAAAUAUAUUCCACGGUAUACUUUUUCUUUCACAUCUUAUGAGUGUAUCCAUGCUUUGUAUAUUUUCUAGAACUUGCAACUUUUCUCUACUGUUGAUUGGUUUUACAUUUUCACACAUAGAGGCACAUUUGUUUGGUACUCUGAGCCUUUUUCAAGCUACCCUGUGUAUUAUUUAUCCAUUGCUAAACCAAUUUGAGCCUAAAAAAAAUAUUCCCCUUUUCUUUCGGUGACAUACCAAAUUAUAAGCCUUUUAAACCUGAAAUUUUUUAUCUGUUUGCCCUCCUUGG